UCGAUUAGUCGAAAGUCGACUCCUCCCGCCGAGCAUCAGCAAGGAUUUCGAAGACUACAUAAUACAACAAUUGCUUUGCAUGCUAUUACCGCACACAUUUGCCGUGGCUUAAAUCAUCCCAGGCCAUGAGAUAGGACUGUCCACGUGGCACUGGACCUAUCGACACGGUCAGCCAUGCCAAACUAUUUCAGGACCUCGCCAUCGCCUCCAGCCAGGCCUAUAAUGCUGGGUGAUAAUGUUAUUUCUUUUCUGUUUUAAGAAUGGUACAAUUUAUUAGUGCAAAAGUAAAUAUCCAGUAUAGACUAAAACAAUUAUACUACGUAAAAGUUUAAGAAGUCUAUAUUUCUAUUCGCGCACAUCAUAUUUACGAGGAGCUCACUGAUUUAUUAGAUAAGCCUGCGUUCAGCUGUUGGGUAUUGACCGUGAUGCAGCUAUUUCAUCAUGUUGGCGUAAUCCAUGUUGUUAUAAUAGUUCCAAGACAGGUGGAAUCAAUUUGCAGUUCCUAGCUAUAUAUUUCUCUGUUAAUUGUAGAAAGGCAAUCAACUUCUUGCAUAUUUACAUAUUGGAAUUAGGAAUAAAGAAAUAAAUAAAAAAUA